rnacentral:rRNA from 1 species
UACAGAGGUCUCAAGCGUUGUUCGGAUUCAUUGGGCGUAAAGGGUGCGUAGGUGGCGGGGUAAGUCAGGUGUGAAAUCUCGGGGCUCAACCCCGAAACUGCACUUGAUACUGCCUUGCUCGAGUACUGGAGAGGAGAUUGGAAUUUACGGUGUAGCAGUGAAAUGCGCAGAUAUCAGGAAGAACACCAAUGGCGAAGGCAGCUCUCUGGGACGGUACUGACGCUGAGACGCGAAAGCGUGGGGAGCGAACAGG